CUCAGCAUGCCAAACAAGACCAUCAUAGUUGGAUUCAGUUGUUCUCUCUCUCACUGUUAAUUACCAGGACAGUAAAGCAAGCCAUUCCCACAUGGAAGAGAAACAACUGCAGCUCUGCCCUUAGGAACUUCCAUUUCUGCUUUGCAAUCUGGUGGGAGGAGUGGAGGAAGAGAGAAUGAAGCAGAGUUCCCUUUCUACAAAUGAAGGGAAGCUCAACCCUCAACGCUGCAGAUCUUAUGAAAUGCCACAGAAGUUGGAGCUCCUGCACGUAGACUCACCGUUUCUGAGGCAUCCCAUGUGAUAACUUUUCCCAUUCUUUCCAUUCUCCUUAUUCCCCAGGAUGGAGGGAGAAAGAGGAAAUGACAACAACCCAAUAGGGCCAAAGGGACUACAUAUCCUGUAGAAGGAACUGGUAUAUACUAAAGGCAAAAGGCUCUGCAAUGACUGUGACUGUGUGCGUGUCUCAGAGAGGUGUUGCAGAUAAUGCUGAGUCUGGUAGCCUUCCAGCCCUCCUCUUCCCACAUUCUUCUACCCUAAGAAGCUUGCCCUUCGUGGAUCUUUCUGGAACAGGCCUGAAGAGGUUGGUGGCAGGAUCAUGCACUACUCUUCUAAGAGAAGGCAGCUUUAAA
rnacentral:lncRNA from 1 species